rnacentral:lncRNA from 1 species
ACUCGUAGGAAUGUCCAUCACUUAAUUAGCACAUCCUUCAACUCAGUUCUUGGCCGGAGGGUGGUAGAUCGGAGUCGGGGACCCAUACGUGGGCGUGGGUGAACUGUAUUUAGGCGUUGGGGGGUGGUAUUCUGGCUGAGGUUUGGGCUCCGGCUUUGGCUUAGGAGGCACUGGUUUCUUGUGGAAGUGGUCAAAGAAGUGGUGGUGCUCAUGAUCCUUGUGGAAGUGGUCAAGCCAGUGCUUCUUGUCGAACAAGUCUUUAGCAGGAGGAUGGUAGAUUGGAGUAGGAGACCCAUAUGUAGGUGUUGGGGGGUGGUACUCUGGCUGCGGCUUGGGCUCUGGCUUCGGCGGAAUAGGCUUCUUGUGGAAGUGGUCGAAGAGUUGGUGGUGGUCGUGGUCCUUGUGGAAGUGACCAAGCAACUUGGCAAACAAGUGCCUAGCUGGAGGGUGGUAGAUUGGUGUAGGAGACCCGUAUGUGGGUGUUGGCGACCCAUAUGUUGGCGUUGGGGGAUGGUACUCUGGCUGAGGCUUGGGCUCUGGUUUGGGCUGCGGCUUAGGUUCCGGCUUCGGCUUUGGCGGUAUGGGCUUCUUGUGGAAGUGGUCGAAGAAGUGGUGGUGGUCAUGGUCCUUGUGGAAGUGACCAAGCAACUUGGCAAACAAGUGCCUAGCUGGAGGGUGGUAGAUCGGUGUCGGAGACCCGUAUGUUGGUGUUGGGGGAUGGUACUCUGGCUGAGGCUUAGGCUCUGGCUUCGGCUGCGGCUUAGGUUCCGGCUUCGGCUUCGGCGGCAUGGGCUUCUUGUGGAAAUGGUCAAAGAAGUGGUGGUGGUCGUGGUUCUUAUGGAAGUGAUCAAACAAGUGCUUCUUGUCGAACAACUGCCUUGCUGGAGGAUGGUAGAUCGGAGUUGGGGAUCCAUAUGUGGGCAUUGGUGAUCCAUACGUCGGU